UACCGCCCUAGUUCUGACCGUAAACGAUGCCAACUAUCAAUCCGCCAGUGGCUUUGAGUCAUUGGCGGGCGGAUCGACGGAAACGAAAGUUUUUCGGUUCCGGGGGAAGUAUGGUUGCAAAGCUGAAACUUAAAGGAAUUGACGGAAGGGCACCACCAGGAGUGGAGCUUGCGGCUUAAUUUGACUCAACACGGGAAACCUCACCCGGCCAGUACAUCAUAAGGAUUGACAGAUUGAUAGCUCUUUCAUGAUUUGAUGAAUGGUGGUGCAUGGCCGUUCUUAGUUCGUGGCGUGAGUCGUCUGCUUAAUUGCGAUAACGAGCGAGACUCCGACUGCUAAAUACCUGAUGGAUUAAUUGUCUACGCAGGUUCUUAGCUGGAUUCGAGACUCCAAGUCUCAAGAAAUGGAGCAAUAACAGGUCUGUGAUGCCCUUAGAUGUUCGGGGCCGCACGCGUGCUACAAUGAUGGUAACAGCGUGCUUGUCCUCGCCCGAGAGGGCUUGGCAAACAGUUGAGAUAUUAUUAUGGCUGGAAUUGAGUGUUGAAAUUUUCCCUCAUGAACGAGGAAUUCCAAGUAAAUGCGAGUCAUCAACUUGCAUUGAUUACGUCCCGCCCUG
rnacentral:rRNA from 1 species